UACGAGGGGGGCAAGCGUUGUUCGGAAUUAUUGGGCGUAAAGGGCGCGUAGGCGGUUUGUCAAGUCUGUUGUGAAAUCUCUGGGCUCAACCCAGAGUCUGCAUUAGAAACUGUCGGGCUUGAGUAUGGGAGAGGUGAGUGGAAUUUCCGGUGUAGCGGUGAAAUGCGUAGAUAUCGGAAGGAACACCUGUGGCGAAAGCGGCUCACUGGACCAUAACUGACGCUGAGGCGCGAAAGCUAGGGGAGCAAACAGG
rnacentral:rRNA from 1 species